rnacentral:rRNA from 1 species
UACGGGGGGAGCAAGCGUUGUUCGGAUUUACUGGGCGUAAAGGGCGCGUAGGCGGCCACCGCAAGUCAGUUGUGAAAUCUCUGGGCUUAACCCAGAAAGGUCAACUGAUACUGCGGGGCUAGAGUGCAGAAGGGGCAACUGGAAUUCUCGGUGUAGCGGUGAAAUGCGUAGAUAUCGAGAGGAACACCUGCGGCGAAGGCGGGUUGCUGGGCUGACACUGACGUGAUGCGCGAAAGCUAGGGGAGCGAACGGGAU